rnacentral:rRNA from 1 species
UACGGGGGGGGCAAGCGUUGUUCGGAAUUACUGGGCGUAAAGGGCUCGUAGGCGGCCAACUAAGUCGGACGUGAAAUCCCCAGGCUCAACCUGGGAACUGCGUCCGAUACUGGAUGGCUUGAAUUCGGGAGAGGGAUGCAGAAUUCCAGGUGUAGCGGUGAAAUGCGUAGAUAUCUGGAGGAAUACCGGUGGCGAAGGCGGCAUCCUGGACCGACAUUGACGCUGAUGAGCGAAAGCUAAGGGAGCAAACGGG